UUAACGAGUAGCGUCAGGGCGAACUUUUACUCAUCUGGAUAAACACUGCACAUCCUGCACCUUUACUUUUGCAGCUCCAUUCUCGGUGCCACAAGGGUGUCCGGAGGUCGAGCUUCCGUUGCUCCAGGGCCACGGAGCCCUUUGACUGAUCUCGGGGAUUCAGGAGUGAUUUCCACUUCCGGGAGGUCCGCCUCUUAUUUUAGGAUCCGAGUUCCAUAGGCCGACCAGACUGCGCGCCGCAGUCCGACUGGACCCAACAACUGCUCCUCAAGAAUCCGCCACACCACAGUCUCUUACCCAUUCCAGCCUUUCUUGGAGGUUAAAGAAUGAAAUUACCGCAGUUUUGGGGGACCACGUUUAUUGGACCGGUGCGAGUAUCCUUUAGGGCUUAGGCUGUAAAUGUCCUUAAGUGAGAAGAGAAAAAAGCUGGAGCCUUCCUGGGCCCAGUGAGAUGUCACUAGCAGAUGCCAAGUACAGGUCUGGUUACGAUAUGGGCUGGACGGGAGGAAGCGACGGACUCCCCGGAUUGGGCCAGAAGAAGAAAGGCCCGCCCUAUGUGCGCCAGGAUUGGCUGAGUGCGAGCCGCGCUCCCCUCACUCCAGCAGUCAGAGAGAGAGAAGUGGGACGUUGUCACCUGGCUUCCGACUUCCAGCAGGUUCCUUGGAACAGUUCAGAAGGGUACGCUGUGUUCCAGACUCGAUGUAAAAUAGAUCUGGAGAGGCGUGCUCCAUCGUAACGGUGAGGGGGCUGCGGAAGAGAAGUGUCGCGGGGAGCGACUGAAGCUCUACAACCGGAAGUGUCAUCAGUGAGGCCCCGUUUCCUGAAGUGUGGCUAAACCUGAGAGCAACCGGAAAUGUGGUGCUGCCCUGGCUUCGGAGUCAGGAUCAGUUGAGAACAGGUGUUUAUGUAUCUUUAUUUCCCUCGGGCUACUAGAACCUCUCUGUGCGGAAAGCGUUGCAGGGUGCAGGGUUGUGCAAAUGGAGGCCAGCAGACUGUUGCCCUAGCCCCCCGGGGACGCGCAGGACUUGGAAGCCAUGCAGUUCCCUAGUGAGAAGACAAGAUGGUGGAGUUCCGUCGGGCCCACCAGAACCCGGACACGCGGACCUGGAGGAAACAGAUAUAUGCUCUCCUCUCUAGGGUCUUGGAAGACAAGCCCUGGGGGGUGGGAGGGGACAUGUUGGGCAAGGCAGAAGAGUAGUAGUAGAAGAUCAAUGAAGAGUCUUUGGGAACUCGGGGAAGUAGCUUGAACAGUAGCCGAGUCAGGAGCAGGUAAUAGUAGACUCAUUUGUGUAGUUUAAAUCAGUAAGAAAUUAAAAGGUAGUCAGUAGGUGUCCGCUGGGGAUCACCAAGUGCAGUUCUGUGGUCCUGGAAGAUGCAUGUUGUGGGGGAUCAAAUCUAGGGAGAGGGACCAUCUCUGUUAGUCCAGGAAAAUACCCAUUUUAGUACUGGAAGACCCUUUUCCCAGAAAACUCUCAGUUCUGGGCAAACCAUAAAGUAUUUGGUAUGAGUUCAGGUGACUGGCAAUCAACAAGAGUCUGGUUGGUGUCAGAGAGGGCCACUGGGGGCCUAAGGUAUUUAUGUUAAUGAACACCAAUAGGGUCAAAGGAGGAACUAUUUAGAAGUUAAGUGUUUGAGGGCACUUUGGGAUGGGAAAGGAAAUCAGUGGGGGAGUGCUGAGCACUCAGUGUCAAGCAUGGAACAGUGCAAGAACACUCGCCAAAGCUGUUGGUGGUUCAUGGUGGUAGUGAGGGUGUCAGGUUGCUUCAAAUGCACUCAUUUGACCUCCUUCAUAAUGAAUGAGAUCUCUCACAGGUACCUUUCAUAUCCAAAAUUGUACACUAAGUACGGAUUCUGUUUGUGGGUUGACUUUUAUGUUAGAAUCUGAGUUUAAUAAAAGCCCAAUGAUUGUUCUUA